ACGUAUUUUCCAUAUGAACUAAAAUCAUUCAUUCUUAUUAAUACAGUACAUGUUUUCAUUAAUGACUGUGAGCAUGCUUUACUCCAGUGUCAUGUGCCAUAUUACUAACAGUGAUAAAAACAGUCAUUAGUUUUAAUAAGUUUUGUCUUUUCAGUAGGAAGAAGAGAAACUUCAACACACUCGAGGAAAACAGACACAACACCUCCAUCAGAACCACCUCAGAGUAAACCAACAAACUCUCCACCUGCAUCAUCCUCAACAACACUGGAACAAGAUAAACAGCAAACACACAGCAGCCUCCCUCUAGGUGCCAAAACUUUUCAUCAGCAAUGAAAAAACAUAUCUGUAUUAUUACAUUUAUUAACAUUUUGGUGUGUUUUAUUACACAGUUUUCGGCAUUGUGGCGGGUUUAUUGUUGGUGAUACCCGGACUAGUGGCAUUUAUUUGUUGGAAACGCAAAGGAGGAAGAUGUGGAGAGAAGGUGAUGACUGAAGGACGUCCGGACUGUAAGAGAAAGCGGAAGGAUCAGACUGAACCUGAUGUUACUUACUCUACUGUAACCCACGUGAACACAGCCGGAGCAGCACGGGUCCAGAUCAACGCUGGAGACAAAACUGAAUAUGCCAGCAUUCUAACAAUCUAAUCCACAGUAAAUAUCUAGAAUAAUACUGAAUACAUGCAUUAUAUUAAAUACACACCAUGGUAAGCACAGGAUUCACAAUUCUGGCUUAGUUUAUUAUACUGUGGCUUUUUUUUAUUAUUAUUUGACCAUAAAUAGCAGAUUUAAUCAUAUUUGUGUGCUGAUGGAUAAUCCUGUAAAUUAUAUUUUUAAUGUUUGUGUCAUUUAUUAUCAUUUAUUUUGUGUCAUUUGUUUUUUAUUUGCAUUUAUGACAUUUAGCAGACGCCCUUAUCCAGAGCGACUUACAUUUAUCUCAUUUAUACAACUGAGCAAUUGAGUGUUAAGGGCCUCGCCCAAGAGCCCAACAAUGGUAGCUUGGCAGUGCUGUGGCUUGAACUCCUGACCUUCUGAUCAGCAACCCAGAGACUUUAACCACUGAGACACCACUUAUAUGUUCUAGAACGCUUUUGUCAUCACCCUGUUUUGCGUAAGAUGACCGCUGUAGAAGUUCUUGUUUGUGACUGUCGUGGGAAAGUCUCUCUGGACUGAAUUUGUGUUUCUAAACUAGUUGUGGUGAAAUUGUUGUGAAAACCUUAUUGCAUGUUAAAUGGUGCAUGAUAGUGUGCUUGUUGAGUGUGGAGUAUCACACAGUAUUCUCUGUGCAUGGCACAACUUUCAUUAACUUUGAGAAAGAGGAAGUAGCCAUUUUCCCAUCAGUCCCCACUGCCCUGCCCUGGUCUUGCAGUCCCUCUGACAUGCUGAGUGUCUCACAGUGGCUCUGAAGUACCAUGAGAACGCUAGUUAUGCAUGAAACUGUGGUUUUAUAAACUGCUAAUACUUGUCAGAGGCGUGUGUAUGACCUUUCAACAAAGUCAUAAAGUGACAUGAUUGUAAUUUAGCAUCCUGCAUAAUAUCUUAAAGAGGGGCCUUAAAGGACUGUAGCACAUGUGAGGAGGGGAAUUGCUGUUACACCUGCUGUCGGUCCUUAAUAAUGUCUGCCACUUGUCAGAGUGCAUGAAUCGUGCAUGAACCGCUGACAUGAACCAAUCCUGUGGUUGCAUGGCAUAGAUUACAUCUGACACCCUUAGCAGUCAGUCUUUUAGCACAGAGCAAAUCUCACAUUGCCUGGAACAUAGCAUCCUCUUUUCCAUAAAGAGAAGAAGAGAAGGAAACUUAUGGACUAUGGCUUAUAAACAACAUGGUGCAACUAUAGGGUUAAUUAAUUUAUUUAUUAAUUCCUCUUCAGCAACUGUUUUAUCCUGGUCAGUGUUGUCAUGGAUUCGAACUCUAUCCCAGCAACACUGGGCACAAGGUGGGAGAAUUCAGAUGGGACGCCAGUCCAUCUCAGAACACCAUUCACACACAUUCACUCCUGGGGGCAAUCUAACAUAGUAAACCUGCAUGUUUUUAGACAGUGAAAGGAAACCGCACACACAACCACAAGGAGGACAUGCAAACCUCUGCACAGACAUUAACAUGAUUUCAUUUAAUGAUCUAUAAGGAUCUUGUUGAAUGCACAAUCAUGUCUACACUCUUUUAUUUUCUGUUUAUGUCAUAUUCUAAGUCUUCCAGGCAUCUCACCAGGUCUAAACAUUUUUUUCUGUUUUCUUUACGUUAAGUUUCUCGCUCUUCUUGGUUUUGCUUGUGCACACACUUCUUAAAUAAUAUAAUAUUCGCAUCAUUUGAAAAUAUAUUAAAGCUUUUACUUGAAAUAUUUGUCAAAUUCCUGUAGCUUGUUUGUAGCUUAUACAUUUUCAUACUAUUUGCAGUGAUAAAAAUAAAUACAAAAUUACAGUGGAGCAUGAUAUUUGAAAGUUCUAUUUUAGCACAAUCACAUCCCUAAUAUUUUCACAUAAAUAAACACAGUUGAAGCACAGAAUUUUAUCAGAAUGCAAUAAUUACUACACACCACCAGAUGUCGCUGCGGUCUAAGUUUUCAAUGCUCCAACACUUCAGCUCA